rnacentral:rRNA from 1 species
GACGAACGCUGGCGGCGUGCUUAACACAUGCAAGUCGAACGGAAAGGCCCUGCUUGCAGGGUACUCGAGUGGCGAACGGGUGAGUAACACGUGGGUGAUCUGCCCUGCACUUCGGGAUAAGCCUGGGCAACUGGGUCUAAUACCGGAUAGGAGCCAUUUUUAGUGUGAUGGUUGGAAAGUUUUUUCGGUGUAGGAUGAGCUCGCGGCCUAUCAGCUUGUUGGUGGGGUAAUGGCCUACCAAGGCGGCGACGGGUAGCCGGCCUGAGAGGGUGGACGGCCACACUGGGACUGAGAUACGGCCCAGACUCCUACGGGAGGCAGAAGUGGGGAAUAUUGCACAAUGGGCGCAAGCCUGAUGCAGCGACGCCGCGUGGGGGAUGACGGCCUUCGGGUUGUAAGCUCCUUUCGCGAGGGACGAAGCUUUUUGUGACGGUACCUAGAUAAGAAGCACCGGCUAACUACGUG